ACGGGUGAGUAAUGUCUGGGAAACUGCCUGAUGGAGGGGGAUAACUACUGGAAACGGUAGCUAAUACCGCAUAACGUCGCAAGACCAAAGAGGGGGACCUUCGGGCCUCUUGCCAUCGGAUGUGCCCAGAUGGGAUUAGCUAGUAGGUGGGGUAACGGCUCACCUAGGCGACGAUCCCUAGCUGGUCUGAGAGGAUGACCAGCCACACUGGAACUGAGACACGGUCCAGACUCCUACGGGAGGCAGCAGUGGGGAAUAUUGCACAAUGGGCGCAAGCCUGAUGCAGCCAUGCCGCGUGUAUGAAGAAGGCCUUCGGGUUGUAAAGUACUUUCAGCGGGGAGGAAGGCGAUAAGGUUAAUAACCUUGUCGAUUGACGUUACCCGCAGAAGAAGCACCGGCUAACUCCGUGCCAGCAGCCGCGGUAAUACGGAGGGUGCAAGCGUUAAUCGGAAUUACUGGGCGUAAAGCGCACGCAGGCGGUCUGUCAAGUCGGAUGUGAAAUCCCCGGGCUCAACCUGGGAACUGCAUUCGAAACUGGCAGGCUAGAGUCUUGUAGAGGGGGGUAGAAUUCCAGGUGUAGCGGUGAAAUGCGUAGAGAUCUGGAGGAAUACCGGC
rnacentral:rRNA from 1 species